AAACUCAAAUGAAUUGACGGGACCCGCACAAGCGGUGGAUGAUGUGGUUUAAUUCGAUGCAACGCGAAAAACCUUACCCACCUUUGACAUGUACGGAAUCCUUUAGAGAUAGAGGAGUGCUCGAAAGAGAGCCGUAACACAGGUGCUGCAUGGCUGUCGUCAGCUCGUGUCGUGAGAUGUUGGGUUAAGUCCCGCAACGAGCGCAACCCUUGUCAUUAGUUGCUACAUUCAGUUGGGCACUCUAAUGAGACUGCCGGUGACAAACCGGAGGAAGGUGGGGAUGACGUCAAGUCCUCAUGGCCCUUAUAGGUGGGGCUACACACGUCAUACAAUGGCUGGUACAAAGGGUUGCCAACCCGCGAGGGGGAGCUAAUCCCAUAAAGCCAGUCGUAGUCCGGAUCGUAGUCUGCAACUCGACUACGUGAAGUCGGAAUCGCUAGUAAUCGUGGAUCAGAAUGUCACGGUGAAUACGUUCCCGGGCCUU
rnacentral:rRNA from 1 species